AUAGAAGGCCAUACUCUCUGAACAUACCAACCCUGUCUAAUUUUGGAAGCUAAGCAGGGUGGAACCCGGCCGGUCCUUGAAUGGGAGACCAACAGGCAAUACCAGGCAUCUCCUGGU
rnacentral:rRNA from 1 species